GCCCAAGUGGCGGAAUGGUAUACGCAGCAGGUUGAGGGCCUGUGCUCUUAUGGGCGUGGAGGUUCGAAUCCUCUCUUGGGCA
rnacentral:tRNA from 1 species